rnacentral:lncRNA from 1 species
GAAGACGUGCUCGUGUCAACAAUUCCCUGGCUCUCAUUGCUAAGAUAAGAGGGUUUUUCACCAAAUUCAUCAUGAAGUUCGCGCUUUUCUUCGUUCUUGCGAUGGUACUUGUGAUGCAGGCAAGGAGCCACGGGCCUCCCAGCUGCCCCGACCCACACAGUUAUAACAUCAACUGCCUCCGGAUACGAAGAC